UACGUAGGGUGCGAGCGUUGUCCGGAAUACUGGGCGUAAAGCGUGCGCAGGCGGUUUUGUAAGCCAGAUGUGAAAUCCCCGGGCUCAACCUGGGAAUGGCAUUUGGGACUGCAAGGCUGGAGUACGGCAGAGGAGACUGGAAUUCCUGGUGUAGCAGUGAAAUGCGUAGAUAUCAGGAGGAAUACCGAUGGCGAAGGCAGGUCUCUGGGCUGAUACUGACGCUCGAUGCAUCGAAC
rnacentral:rRNA from 1 species